ACGUAGGGUGCGAGCGUUGUCCGGAAUUACUGGGCGUAAAGAGCUCGUAGGUGGUUUGUCGCGUUGUCCGUGAAAUUUCACAACUCAAUUGUGAGCGUGCGGGCGAUACGGGCAGACUGGAGUACUGCAGGGGAGACUGGAAUUCCUGGUGUAGCGGUGGAAUGCGCAGAUAUCAGGAGGAACACCGGUGGCGAAGGCGGGUCUCUGGGCAGUAACUGACGCUGAGGAGCGAAAGCGUGGGGAGCGAACAGGAUUAGAUACCCUGGUAGUCCACGCCGUAAACGGUGGGUACUAGGUGUGGGUUUCCUUCCUUGGGAUCCGUGCCGUAGCUAACGCAUUAAGUACCCCGCCUGGGGAGUACGGCCGCAAGGCUA
rnacentral:rRNA from 1 species